rnacentral:tRNA from 1 species
CGGGCAGUAGCUCAGUGGUAGAUCUCCCGCUUCGUACGUGGGAAGACUUAGGUUGGACUCCCGGCUGCUCAC